rnacentral:lncRNA from 1 species
UCAGCCCCCACCCUUGAUAACCACCAUUCUACUCCCUACUUCUAUGAGUUCAGCUUUUUCGAGAUUUCACAUAGAAGUGAGAUCAUGCAGUUUUUGUCUUUUUGUGCCUGGCUUAUUUCAUUUAAUAUGUUUUCUAGAUUCAUCUAUGCUGUUGCAAAUGACAGAAAAUGUGGUAUAUAUAACAAUGGAAUACUCUCCAGACUUUACAAAGAAGAAAAUUCUGUUACUGACCCUUUUAAAGCAGGAAGAUAUCACAGAGGGAUUUGCACUCUAGGAAGGUGAAGGGGAGAGAGCAGAGAUACGCAGGAAGGAAUAUCAGUAGGAAGCCACUUGCCCAGGAGAUGAGAUUUUCAAAAGCCUAAGUCUAUGAAGGACUCUGAGAAGAAGCAGAGACUAGAGACACUCUACAGUGAACCCGCAAACCUCAGAUACCAACUGGAUGUUGGGGUGAGCAAGAGCAAAUGUGCGGUACUUCUUGAGUUCCUGGCAUGGGCUCUGGGGAAAACACAGUUUCUGGCACCAUUCAUUCAGCCAGUUAGAAGAAAGGGAAAGAAGACGGGUGACCUAGGACCACUGGUCUUGCUGAUCAAUCUGGAGAGGAGGCUCCUUUUUUCCAACCUGGCUGAGCUUGCUUUUGCCAACACUGUACAGCUCUG